UUGGAGGGCAAGUCUGGUGCCAGCAGCCGCGGUAAUUCCAGCUCCAAUAGCGUAUAUUAAAGUUGUUGCAGUUAAAAAGCUCGUAGUUGAAUUUCGGGGUCAAUAAGUUGGUCGUGCCAAUGGUAUGUACUGGCUUUAUUGAUUCCUACCUCUUGACGAACUGUGAUGCCAUUAAUUUGGUGUUGCAGGAAAUCAGGACUGUUACCUUGAAAAAAUUAGAGUGUUUAAAGCAGGCUUACGCUUGAAUGCAUUAGCAUGGAAUAAUGAAAUAGGACGUUUGAACCUAUUUUGUUGGUUUCUAGGAUCGACGUAAUGAUUAAUAGGGAUAGUUGGGGGCAUUAGUAUUCAAUUGUCAGAGGUGAAAUUCUUGGAUUUAUUGAAGACUAACUACUGCGAAAGCAUUUGCCAAGGAUGUUUUCAUUAAUCAAAAACGAAAGUUAGGGGAUCGAAGACGAUCAGAUACCGUCGUAGUCUUAACCAUAAACUAUGCCGACUAGGGAUCGGAUGAUGUUAAUUCUUUUUAAUGACUCAUUCGGCGCCUUACGGGAAACCAAAGUGUUUGGGUUC
rnacentral:rRNA from 1 species